CGGCGGACGGGUGAGUAACGCGUGGGAACGUGCCCUUCUCUACGGAAUAGCCCCGGGAAACUGGGAGUAAUACCGUAUACGCCCUUUGGGGGAAAGAUUUAUCGGAGAAGGAUCGGCCCGCGUUGGAUUAGGUAGUUGGUGGGGUAAUGGCCCACCAAGCCGACGAUCCAUAGCUGGUUUGAGAGGAUGAUCAGCCACACUGGGACUGAGACACGGCCCAG
rnacentral:rRNA from 1 species